rnacentral:rRNA from 1 species
UACGGAGGGUGCAAGCGUUGUCCGGAAUCACUGGGCGUAAAGGGCGCGUAGGCGGCCUGGUAAGUAGGGGGUGAAAUCCUGCGGCUUAACCGCAGGGCUGCCUUCUAAACUGUCAGGCUUGAGCACGGUGGAGGCAGAUGGAAUUCCCGGUGUAGCGGUGGAAUGCGUAGAGAUCGGGAAGAACAUCAGUGGCGAAGGCGGUCUGCUGGGCCGUUGCUGACACUGAGGCGCGACAGCGUGGGGAGCAAACAGG